GACGAACGCUGGCGGCGUGCCUAAUACAUGCAAGUAGAACGCUGAAGGAGGAGCUUGCUCUUCUGGAUGAGUUGCGAACGGGUGAGUAACGCGUAGGUAACCUGCCUGGUAGCGGGGGAUAACUAUUGGAAACGAUAGCUAAUACCGCAUAAGAGUAGAUGUUGCAUGACAUUUACUUAAAAGGUGCAAUUGCAUCACUACCAGAUGGACCUGCGUUGUAUUAGCUAGUUGGUGGGGUAACGGCUUACCAAGGCGACGAUACAUAGCCGACCUGAGAGGGGGAUCGGCCACACUGGGACUGAGACACGGCCCAGACUCCUACGGGAGGCAGCAGUAGGGAAUCUUCGGCAAUGGACGGAAGUCUGACCGAGCAACGCCGCGUGAGUGAAGAAGGUUGUCGGAUCGUAAAGCUCUGUUGUAAGAGAAGAACGAGUGUGAGAGUGGAAAGUUCACACUGUGACGGUAUCUUACCAGAAAGGGACGGCUAACUACGUG
rnacentral:rRNA from 1 species